CACGUAGGGCGCAAGCGUUGUCCGGAAUUAUUGGGCGUAAAGAGCUCGUAGGCGGUCUGUUGCGUCCGCUGUGAAAACCCGGGGCUUAACCCCUGGCUUGCAGUGGAUACGGACAGACUAGAGGUAGGUAGGGGAGAAUGGAAUUCCCGGUGUAGCGGUGAAAUGCGCAGAUAUCGGGAGGAACACCGGUGGCGAAGGCGGGUCUCUGGACAGUUCCUGACGCUGAAGCACGAAGGCCAGGGGAGCAAACGGG
rnacentral:rRNA from 1 species